GCUGUCCUUAGAGGUGUUGUAGGUUUGGGUGCUGUGUCACAUCUGUGUAAGUAGGUAGCAAGAGAAGAAUAGUUAUGUUGACACUCAGUGUCCUAGUCUAUGGAUAUCUGACUGAUUAGUAGCCUAACAUU